UGAUCUAUAGCUGAUCUGAGAGGAUGAUCAGCCACACUGGAACUGAGAUACGGUCCAGACUCCUACGGGAGGCAGCAGUGGGGAAUAUUGGACAAUGGGCGAAAGCUGAUCCAGCCAUGCCGCAUGAGUGAAGAAGGCCUUUGGGUUGUAAAGCUUCUUUUAGUGAGGAGAUAUGACGGACUCACAGAGAAGCCUGGUACUCGUGCCAGCAGC
rnacentral:rRNA from 1 species